GGAGGGUAUGCGACUCUGGUGGGCGUCACGGGCUUCAAACCCGUUGCUUGAACUGAUGUCAGUUUGAGGAGAGGUUCGAUUCCUCUACCCUCACG
rnacentral:tRNA from 1 species